UGAGUACGAGCGGCUACGGCCGCGAAGUGGAUGAUGUCAAGCUUCCAAGAAAAGCCCUAUACCCGUUAAGGCAUGAUGGCCUGUACCCGAAACCGACACAGGUGGGGUGGUAGAGAAUACCGAGGGGCGCGAGGUAACUCUCUCUAAGGAACUCGGCAAAAUGGCCCCGUAACUUCGGGAGAAGGGGUGCCACCGCGAGGUGGUCGCAGUGAGAGGCCCGGGCGACUGUUUACCAAAAACACAGGUCUCCGCUAAGUCGCAAGACGAUGUAUGGGGGCUGACGCCUGCCCAGUGCCGGAAGGUUAAGGAAGCUGGUCAGCGCAAGCGAAGCUGGCGACUGAAGCCCCGGUGAACGGCGGCCGUAACGAUAACGGUCCUAAGGUAGCGAAAUUCCUUGUCGGGUAAGUUCCGACCCGCACGAAAGGCGUAACGAUCUGGGCGCUGUCUCGGAGAGAGGCUCGGCGAAAUAGAAUUGUCUGUGAAGAUGCGGACUACGUGCACCCGGACAGAAAGACCCUAUGAAGCUUUACUGUAGCUUGGUAUUGUGCUCGGGCUCGGAAUGCGCAGGACAGGUGGGAGGCUUUGAUCCAUUGCUUGCGGGUGAUGGUGAGCCACUGGUGAGAUACCACUCUUUCCGAGCUAGAGUUCUAACAGCAACCCGUUAUCCGGGUGCUGGACAGUAUCAGGUGGGCAGUUUGACUGGGGCGGUCGCCUCCUAAAAGGUAACGGAGGCGCGCAAAAGUCUGCUCAGGCUGGUUGGAAAUCAGCCGACGAGUGUAAAAGCAGAAGCAGGCUUGACUGUGAGACCUACAAGUCGAACAGGGAGGAAACUCGGCUUUAGUGAUCCGACGGUUCUGCGUGGAAGGGCCGUCGCUCAACGGAUAAAGUUACUCUAGGAUAACAGGCUGAUCUCCCCCAAGAGUUCACAUCGACGGGGAGGUUUGGCACCUCGAUGUCGGCUCAUCGCAACCUGGGGCUGAAGUCGGUCCCAAGGGUUGGGCUGUUCGCCCAUUAAAGCGGUACGCGAGCUGGGUUCAGAACGUCGUGAGACAGUUCGGUCCAUAUCCGGUGCACGCGCAGGAAUAUUGAGAGGAUUUCUCCCUAGUACGAGAGGACCGGGAGGAACGCACCUCUGGUGUGCCAGUUAUCGUGCCAACGGUAAACGCUGGGUAGCCAUGUGCGGAGUGGAUAACCGCUGAAAGCAUCUAAGUGGGAAGCCCACCUCAAGAUGAGUAUUCCCAUGGCAUAAGCCAGUAAGGUCACGGGAAGAACACCCGUUGAUAGGCUCUACGUGGAAGCGCAGUAAUGUGUGAAGCGGAGGAGUACUAAUAGACCGAGGGC
rnacentral:rRNA from 1 species